UACGAAGGGGGCUAGCGUUGCUCGGAAUUACUGGGCGUAAAGGGCGCGUAGGCGGAUAUCUAAGUCGGGGGUGAAAGCCCAGGGCUCAACCCUGGAAUUGCCUUCGAUACUGGAUAUCUUGAGUACGGGAGAGGUGAGUGGAACUCCGAGUGUAGAGGUGAAAUUCGUAGAUAUUCGGAAGAACACCAGUGGCGAAGGCGACUCACUGGCCCGUUACUGACGCUGAGGCGCGAAAGCGUGGGGAGCAAACAGG
rnacentral:rRNA from 1 species